rnacentral:rRNA from 1 species
GUUGUAAGGUUAAGAAAUUAAGCGUACACGGUGGAUGCCUAGGCAAUCAGAGGCGAUGAAGGACGUGUUAAUCUGCGAAAAGCGACGGUGAGCCGAUAAAAGGCGCUAUAACCGUUGAUGUCCGAAUGGGGAAACCCAGUGCAGGUGACUGCACUAUCAUCUGAUGAAUACAUAGUCAGAUGAGGCGAACCGGGAGAACUGAAACAUCUAAGUACCCCGAGGAAAAGAAAUCAACCGAGAUUCCCAAAGUAGCGGCGAGCGAAAUGGGAGCAGCCCAAGCGGGUAGCAUAAUGUAUUAGUGGAAGCGUCUGGAAAGUCGCACGAUAGAGGGUGAAAGUCCCGUACAUGAAAGUAGAUUAUGUGGAAGCUUAUAGAGUAGGGCGGGACACGUGAUAUCCUGUCUGAAGAUGGGGGGACCAUCCUCCAAGGCUAAAUACUCCUGAUUGACCGAUAGUGAACCAGUACCGUGAGGGAAAGGCG